rnacentral:rRNA from 1 species
UGAGCAAUCUGCCCUUCUCUUCGGAAUAAGCGUUGGAAACGACGUCUAAUGCCGAAUACGACCUCCUUUCGCAUGAUCGGAGGUGGAAAGCUCCGGCGGAGAAGGAUGAGCUCGCGGCCUAUCAGCUAGUUGGUGUGGGUAAUGGCCCACCAAGGCGACGACGGGUAGCCGGCCUGAGAGGGCGACCGGCCACACUGGGACUGAGACACGGCCCAGACUCCGUACGGGAGGNAGCG